CUCAACGGAUAAAAGCUACCCCGGGGAUAACAGGCUUAUCUCCCCCAAGAGUUCACAUCGACGGGGAGGUUUGGCACCUCGAUGUCGGCUCAUCGCAUCCUGGGGCUGUAGUCGGUCCCAAGGGUUGGGCUGUUCGCCCAUUAAAGCGGUACGCGAGCUGGGUUCAGAACGUCGUGAGACAGUUCGGUCCCUAUCCGUCGUGGGCGUAGGAAAUUUGAGAGGAGCUGUCCUUAGUACGAGAGGACCGGGAUGGACAUACCUCUGGUGUACCAGUUGUCGUGCCAACGGCAUAGCUGGGUAGCUAUGUGUGGACGGGAUAAGUGCUGAAAGCAUCUAAGCAUGAAGCCCCCCUCAAGAUGAGAUUUCCCAACUUCGGUUAUAAGAUCCCUCAAAGAUGAUGAGGUUAAUAGGUUCGAGGUGGAAGCAUGGUGACAUGUGGAGCU
rnacentral:rRNA from 1 species